rnacentral:lncRNA from 1 species
UGCAAAUCAAUAUUCAGGGGAGAGAAGAAAAUAUCUAGAUCUUGAGACUUGGAAAUUAACUAAUAGUGAAUUUAUUCUUAUUAUCAUAUGCGCUCAUUCCCACAUGACCUUCAUGAUACGAUACGAUGAAACUCCGUGAACUUGAACUUGUUUUUUCUUUAUUGGUAAAAGCUACUCAAUCAGACUUGAAAUGGAAUCACAAGAGUUGUCUGCUAAUUAGAGGCAAAUACAUUUUAUGCAUGCAAUCGCCAUGGAUCUCUUAUGAUCGUUUUAAUGUUAUAUAACAUGUUCAGAAUUCUCAAUAUGUAUAUCCUGAACUUAGGUGCCAAAAGAAAGAUUAAGAACAAAUUAAGAAAGAGAAACAUGAUUAUAGUAGAUAUAAUCCUUGGCUCUGUUUAUUCAUAGGAGUCAACUAACUAAUAAGGCUUUCAGCAAUUCUUGGCCGCCCAUUCAAGAAUUAUUGAAUGACAGCUAAUUAAGAAGCUGAGUAGUAUCAUCCUGUUACUUAAUCCUAGUGCAAUUUAAUCCUUGACGAGCUCAAAUAUUGCUUAC